AUUGAACGCUGGCGGCAGGCCUAACACAUGCAAGUCGAGCGGAGCGGCGGACGGGUGAGUAAUGCCUAGGAAUCUGCCCGGUAGUGGGGGAUAACGUCCGGAAACGGGCGCUAAUGGCGAAUACUAUCAGAUGAGCCUAGGGCGGAUUAGCUAGCUGGGGGGGUAAAGGCCUACCCAGGCGACGAUCCGUAACUGGUCUGAGAGGAGGAUCAGUCACACGGGAACUGAGACACGGUCCAGACUGCUAAGGGGGGCAGCAGUGGGGAAUAUUGGGCGAUGGGGGAAAGGCUGAUCCAGCCAUUCCGCGUGUGUGAAGAAGGUCUUCGGAUUGUAAAGCACUUUAAGUUGGGAGGCGUUACCAACAGAAUAAGCACCGGCUAACUUCGUGCCAGCAGCCGCGGUAAUAC
rnacentral:rRNA from 1 species